AGUUAAUUAGCUUAAUAAAAGCAUAUAUCUUGAAAAUAUAAGUAAGAUUAUAAUAAAUCUAUUAACUU
rnacentral:tRNA from 1 species